GGUGCCUUGCCGGUUGGGGAUUCAAACCAGCAAUUUUUCAAUUAUAAGUGCGCUUCCCUGACCAUUAAGACAUCACUGUUCAUGCCGCCAUGCUGGCCAUCUCCUCUAUAACUCCCUGACCAAUGAUGGCUGUUUUUUGCUCAACUUCAGCAUUCGUUUGAAAGCAUUAUGAAGCUUUUCUGAAUCCGCAUCUGCUAAUGAAAAUAUACACCCAGUACGACUGGAACUGGCCACUCAGCCAUAAAUUUUCAUCAGCCCUGUUUCGCCCCCUACACGUCAUAAUGAUAUGUGUUAGUACCUAAAAGGAGAUGAUAUAAAAUGAGUAUUCCCUUGUCCCUCAAUUGAUAUAUUAUUUAAUGUUCUCAUGGGUAUGUAUUUACCCUGUUCAUCUGACAUGAGGCACUUUGUCCAAUUGAAUGUAAUGUUAGAUUUGAAUAGAGCACGUUCUGUUCCCCGUGCCUAAACUCCACCAUCCUGCUGAAAUUAAUGACUAAAGAAAAAUGGCUUUUGUUGCCUGUGCUACCUAUUCAGCUCCAGUCAUCUUACCCCCGGUACAAUAGUGGAAGCCAGCCUUCUCUUGUACAACUCCUAGUUAAAGGCCGAUCCAUUAAGCAUUAACCUGUCACUCGGAAACAAAGGGUAUGGAGCCAUUAGGAAACGUGCUUGAAAAUCACGUCUCCCUUGACCUGAUGAUAAAAGGUGAAAGCAUUUUUCCCCUCCUUUCCCUGUGUGAAUUGGACAGCUGAGAUGGACAGACAGCCAAAGCAAUACGGUAUGCACUUUCUGGACCUCGGGGUGGUGGGUGUGGGGCAGGGCGAGAGGCUGAAAGCAAAGAGGGGCUGAUGGAGUCGUCUUAAUGACAAAGGAGGAUUUGCUCACCUCAGUUCUGCACAUAUUCAUUUAUUCAUUUAGAAACUUAAUACAAGGCAGCGUAGGAAUCACACGGCACACCCUGUGCUCACCUCUUGCAGGGAUUCUUUUAAUUAAAAAGAGGAUGGGGAAUUUCAUCCCUCCUGAAAGCGUAGAGAGAGAUCUGUAGUGCUUUAUUUCAGCGUUUGGUAUACAGGUUUUAAAAAGGUGUCUUUUCAUUAAUGCCAAGCUCGUUAUAUCAGUAAGAAGCAUUGCAAUAAACAGAAGAGGUCUAAGCAAAAAUGUGUGCGGUUGGGCAUCAUAAUAUAUCCCAGCCUUGGGAUGUGUCAUAUGACAUAUCGGAGCGUUUUUCCAAAAAGCUUCAUACUCUGUGCUCCAGAACUUCUUAGUGCAAGUUUUAGCAAUGUUUAUAUCUGGUGAUUUGGGGGGGGGGGGGGCACAGAAGGUGUGUAACUUCAUCCUAGCAUUCCUAAAACCACUCAAAUCUAUUUAGCAGUGCGUCGGGGUGAUGAUAUUUAGGAAUAUCAUGAGGGGACGGUACUUGCUCCACAGGGUGCACCUGGCGCUGUAAAAUGAUGUCAUAUUCCUUGGCCACACAGAGCAACCAUCAGCUAAAUAAAAUGACCGGAUGGCGUCUCUGUAGCGCAGUGGUGUCAAUUCAGUUCUGUGGACUUUUCUUGAAGCUGGACUUUUGUGGUGUUUCGUGCCCGUCCAGUUAAGUGUACACCUACCCCUGUCAGUCAGUUUCAAUUUGCAACCACUGCUGAUGCAGUUUGUACUUGUUUGACUUAUACUGUCAUAAUUUUUGAGAGUUUCCCUUGAUGUGUCAAAUGAUUUUACAGCGAUGGUGCUAGUGGGACCCCAACUCUUUGACCUCUUUUGAACGCCUUGGGACCUCACUGUGCUUUGAAAACUACCAUUGCAAAGUGCUCAUUGGCAGACCUCUUUAAUGGCUGAUGCGUGCUGCUAAUUAGCAUCCAGCCUAAAAUGUUUUUGUAUGGUGAUGUAGCUCAAGCUCUCUCUUCACAUGAAUUCUGUCCUUCCGCAUCAGGUUUCCCAUAUUUAUGAGUAUCAAUGUGUGAAUUUUCAUAAUGAACUUGGACUUUGCGUGUCUGGUCCCGUGCAACAGCCGGCUCUCGCCAUUCAGCCGGCUCUCUCGGGGUGUUUCAGGUGUUUCAGGUGCGUCUUUCCUGUCAUUGGUCUUUCUGUAGGACUCAGACCAGGCAGUUGCGUGUUUAUGUCUCAGGAUUACCCCAAGGUACCUCCCUCCAAGGAUAAAAAGCACUGCUGAAAGUUCAUUGAUUCUGCUCUUGCUAUUAUGUGAGCUCUGCUAAUUUUCCUCUGUUGACGUUUCUUCUCCAGAGGCACAUCAGAUGUCCCAGAGGACUGCCUCUGCAGGAAUGCACGCAUCUGUGUUUGGAGGGGUAUAACUGUUUCAGCCAUACCCUCAGCUCAAUAGCUCAUGUUUUUCGGAACCAUCUGCAUGUCUGGCAUCGACGUCAAGACCAAGCUAAAUGAAAAUGGCAGGGAACCACAACGUACGACCAUGGUACAUCGAGGGGAGGCUCAGCCAUUGGGCUGUGAAAAAGUCGUGGCUGUGUGGCGUCACCCCGCAAUCCAGAGAAUCCCAAAGAGAUGGGGAAGGCUCUCGUCAGCUGUGGGACCAAUCCCAUCGCUCCAAACCGCAGGUGAAGAAGGAGGUCCCGAGACUUGCUCUCAGUCAGCGGGGUGAGAACCAAGGUGCACGUGCCCCCAGCCCGUCCUGGAGCAGCCUGCGGGUGACACGAGAAGAGCCACUCGCGUUCGUCUGCGCUAACGCCACAUGAGCCUGACGUUCCUGAACGGGAGCGGUUUGGCCCUUCCUUACGCGCCACGGCACACGACGGGAGAGCGAGCGGGAGUGUGCCUUUGUGAUUAUCACGGGGG